UACGGAGGGGGCUAGCGUUGUUCGGAAUUACUGGGCGUAAAGCGUGCGCAGGCGGUCUGUUAAGACCGAUGUGAAAUCCCCGGGCUUAACCUGGGAACUGCAUUGGUGACUGGCAGGCUUUGAGUGUGGCAGAGGGAGGUAGAAUUCCACGUGUAGCAGUGAAAUGCGUAGAGAUGUGGAGGAAUACCGAUGGCGAAGGCAGCCUCCUGGGCCAACACUGACGCUCAUGCACGAAAGAGUGGGGAGCAAACAGG
rnacentral:rRNA from 1 species